CAACACGUUAGAAUCCUCCAUUUUGUCCCUCCUAUUGGCAAUGCACAAGUGUGGCUUGGAAUGAAGGGACUGUGUGGUUGCCAGGGUGACCCCAAGGACCAGUUAUUGCACAUAUGGUUCUGCAAAUGGAAGUUCCUGAGUCGGACCAAUGGCAGGAAAGAAGAUUUGCGAACUCGCCCAGGGCAAAGCUGGUGUAAAGUUUUAGAUAAAUGUUCAGAAUUAACCACCUCCUGUUACUCCUAAGUCUCCACAGAUACCAUGUUUUUAAGCCUCCUUUGGGACAAUCACUGGCUGGAAACACCAGAGCAAAAGAGAGAGCCGAAACAGAAAAUGACCGUCUGUUGGUUACAGAUCUGAGGAUAAGCCCCGCCAAGGACGCCGGAUGUGUGCUCACGGACUGUCUGGGCCCGCUGCAUCGAAGGCUUCCCCACCUGGGAUUCCCUCUCAGUAAUCUACAUGUUCUCAAGACAUGGGGAGGAGAAGAAAAGCAACCUUAUCAUUCAGGGAUUACGACCUUCCUUGGCUCCAACGAUUCAACUUUAAAUAUUUACUUGGCAGCUGAUUCAAAU
rnacentral:lncRNA from 1 species